CCUACGGGAGGCAGCAGUGGGGAAUAUUGGGCAAUGGGCGCAAGCCUGACCCAGCAACGCCGCGUGAAGGCAGAAGGCUUUCGGGUUGUAAACUUCUUUUCUGGGGGACGACCAAAUGACGGUACCCCAGGACUCAGCCACGGCUAACUACUUGCCAGCGGCCGCGGUAAUACGUAGGUGGCAAGCGUUAUCCGGAUGUAUUGGGGGUAAAGGGCGUGUAGGCGGGAAUGCAAGUCAGAUGUGAAAACUCAGGGCACAACCCUGAGCCUGCAUUUGAAACUGUGUUGCUUGAGUGCUGGAGAGGCAAUCGGAAUUCCGUGUGUAGCGGUGAAAUGCGUAGAUAUACGGAGGAACACCAGUGGCGAAGGCGGAUUGCUGGACAGUAACUGACGCUGAGGCGCGAAAGCGUGGGGAGCAAACAGGAUUAGAUACCCGUGUAGUC
rnacentral:rRNA from 1 species